UUCCGUUAGGGUGACCUGCGGAAGGAUCAUUA
rnacentral:rRNA from 1 species